CGACCUCGGAUCAGGUAGGAAUACCCGC
rnacentral:rRNA from 1 species